CCUACGGGGGGCAGCAGUGAGGAAUAUUGGUCAAUGGACGAGAGUCUGAACCAGCCAAGUAGCGUGAAGGAUGACUGCCCUAUGGGUUGUAAACUUCUUUUAUAUGGGAAUAAAACGUUCCACGUGUGGGAUUUUGUAUGUACCAUAUGAAUAAGGAUCGGCUAACUCAGUGCCAGCAGCCGCGGUAAUACGGAGGAUCCGAGCGUUAUCCGGAUUUAUUGGGUUUAAAGGGAGCGUAGGUGGAUUGUUAAGUCAGUUGUGAAAGUUUGCGGCUCAACCGUAAAAUUGCAGUUGAAACUGGCAGUCUUGAGUACAGUAGAGGUGGGCGGAAUUCGUGGUGUAGCGGUGAAAUGCUUAGAUAUCACGAAGAACUCCGAUUGCGAAGGCAGUUCACUGGACUGCAACUGACACUGAGGCUCGAAAGUGUGGGUAUCAAACAGGAUUAGAUACCCUUGUAGUC
rnacentral:rRNA from 1 species